rnacentral:rRNA from 1 species
GACGAACGCUGGCGGCGUGCCUAACACAUGCAAGUCAACGAGAAAAGGGUAGCAAUAUCCUGAGUAAAGUGGCGCACGGGUGAGUAACACGUAGGUAAUCUGCCAUCAGGACGGGGACAACCACGCGAAAGCGUAGCUAAUACCCGAUGAAUCAGCGAUGCCGCAUGGCAUUGCUGUUAAAUACCGCAAGGUGCCCGAUGAUGAACCUGCGUCCCAUUAGGUAGUUGGUGAGGUAACGGCUCACCAAGCCGACGAUGGGUAGCUGGUCUGAGAGGAUGAUCAGCCACACUGGAACUGAGACACGGUCCAGACUCCUACGGGAGGCAGCAGUGAGGAAUAUUGCGCAAUGGCCGAAAGGCUGACGCAGCGACGCCGCGUGAAGGAUGAAGUCCGUUAGGAUGUAAACUUCUUUUGCAGGGGAUGAAUGUCCCGCCAUGUGCGGGAUUGACCGUACCUUGCGAAUAAGGAUCGGCUAACUACGUG